AUCCAGCUGACGAGUCCAAAAUAAGACGAAACGCGCGUUCUGGAU
rfam:Schistosoma haematobium scaffold117_8, whole genome shotgun sequence.